rnacentral:rRNA from 1 species
GACGAACGCUGGCGGCGUGCCUAAUACAUGCAAGUCGAACGCUGAAGGAGGAGCUUGCUCUUCUGGACGAGUGGCGAACGGGUGAGUAACGCGUAGGUAACCUGCCUGUUAGAGGGGGAUAACUAUUGGAAACGAUAGCUAAUACCGCAUAACAGUAGAUGAUGCAUGACAUUUGCUUAAAAGGUGCAGUUGUACCACUACCAGUUGGAGCUGCGUUGUAUUAGCUAGUUGGUGGGGUAAUGGCUCAACAAGGGGACGAUACAUAGUCGACCUGAGAGGGGGGUCGGCCACCCUGGGACUGGGACACGGCCCAGGCUCCUUCGGGGGGCAGCAGUAGGGGAUCCUCGGGAAUGGGCGGAAGUCUUACCGGACAACGCCGCGUGAGGUGAGAAGGUUUUCGGGUCGGAAAGCUCUGUUGUAAGGGGAGAACGAGUUUGAGAGUGGAAUGUUCACACUGUGACGGUAUCUUAUCAGAAAGGGACGGCUAACUACGUG